UACGGGAAGGGCAAGCGUUAUUCAACAUGACUGGGCGUAAAGAGUCCGUAGACUGUAAAGUAAGUUACCUGUUAAAACUCAAAGCCCAACUUUGAACCAACUUGUAAUACUGCUUGACUUGAGUUUUAUACAGAAAAGUAGAAUUUUAUACGAAAGGGUAAAAUCUGGAAAUAUAUAAAGGAAUACCGUUAGCGAAGGCGGCUUUUUGGUAAAAACUGACGUUGAGGGACGAAAGUGUGGGGAGCAAACAGG
rnacentral:rRNA from 1 species